UACGUAGGGACCAAGCGUUGUUCGGAUUUACUGGGCGUAAAGGGCGCGUAGGCGGCGCGGUAAGUCACUUGUGAAAUCUCUGAGCUUAACUCAGAACGGCCAAGUGAUACUGCAGUGCUAGAGUGUGGAAGGGGCAAUCGGAAUUCUUGGUGUAGCGGUGAAAUGCGUAGAUAUCAAGAGGAACACCGGUGGCGAAGGCGGCUUCCUGGACCGACACUGACGCUGAGGCGCGAAAGCGUGGGGAGCAAACAGG
rnacentral:rRNA from 1 species